rnacentral:rRNA from 1 species
CCGGCGGACCGGCGCGCGGGUGAGUAACACGUAUGAAACCUGCCCGGAGCAGGGGGAUAAGCGGAAGAAAUUCCGUCUAAUACCGCGUAAUGAGGCGGGGAGGCAUCUCCCCGCUUCCAAAGAUUUAUCGGCUCCGGAUGGUCAUGCGGCGCAUUAGCUGGUUGGCGGGGUAACGGCCCACCAAGGCGACGAUGCGUAGGGGUUCUGAGAGGAAGGCCCCCCACACUGGUACUGAGACACGGACCAGACUCCUACGGGAGGCAGCAGUGAGGAAUAUUGGUCAAUGGCCGGGAGGCUGAACCAGCCAAGUCGCGUGAGGGAUGACGGCCCUACGGGUUGUAAACCUCUUUUGCCGGGGAGCAAGAACCGCCUCGCGCAGGCGGACUGAGAGUACCCGGAGAAAAAGCAUCGGCUAACUCCGUGCCAGCAGCCGCGGUAAUACGGAGGAUGCGAGCGUUAUCCGGAUUCAUUGGGUUUAAAGGGUGCGCAGGCGGGCGGUCAAGUCAGCGGUAAAAUCGUGGGGCCCAACCCCAUCCCGCCGUUGAAACUGGCCGUCUUGAGUGGGCGAGAAGUAUGCGGAAUGCGUGGUGUAGCGGUGAAAUGCAUAGAUAUCACGCAGAACUCCGAUUGCGAAGGCAGCAUACCGGCGCCCGACUGACGCUCAUGCACGAAAGCGUGGGUAUCGAACAGGAUUAGAUACCCUGGUAGUCCACGCAGUAAACGAUGAAUACUAAUUGUC